UGGCGUCUGUGAUGUUGCAGUUAUACCUACAUUGUUUGACCCUCAUGAGAACAGCACUGGCUGAGACGCUG
ensembl:snoRNA SNORD34 Small nucleolar RNA SNORD34